AACGAACGCUGGCGGCAGGCUUAACACAUGCAAGUCGAGCGCCCCGCAAGGGGAGCGGCAGACGGGUGAGUAACGCGUGGGAAUCUACCCAUCUCUACGGAAUAACGCAUGGAAACGUGUGCUAAUACCGUAUACGUCCUUCGGGAGAAAGAUUUAUCGGAGAUGGAUGAGCCCGCGUUGGAUUAGCUAGUUGGUGGGGUAAAGGCCUACCACGGCGACGAUCCAUAGCUGGUCUGAGAGGAUGAUCAGCCACACUGGGACUGAGACAAGGCCCAGACUCCUACGGGAGGCAGCAGUGGGGAAUAUUGGACAAUGGGCGCAAGCCUGAUCCAGCCAUGCCGCGUGAGUGAUGAAGGCCCUAGGGUUGUAAAGCUCUUUCACCGGUGAAGAUAAUGACGGUAACCGGAGAAGAAGCCCCGGCUAACUUCGUGCCAGCCGCCGCAGUAACAC
rnacentral:rRNA from 1 species